UAUGGUGAUAAUAGCGACAGGGAUACACCUCUUCCCAUUCCGAACAGAGAAGUGAAGACUGUCUGCGCCGAUGGUACUGCUAUUUGCGGGAGAGUAGGUAAUCGCCGAGG
rnacentral:rRNA from 1 species